rnacentral:tRNA from 2 species
AAAGCUUUAAGUUAACUAAAACUAUUAACCUUCAAAGUUAAAAAUAUAUUAUAUAUAAGCUUUA